GGCCUGAUGGUCUAGUAGUAUGAUUCCUUGUUAGGGUUUCCACAACUGUUUCGAGGAGGUCCCGGGUUCAAUUCCCGGUCAGGCCC